CCUACGGGUGGCAGCAGUGGGGAAUAUUGGGCAAUGGGCGCAAGCCUGACCCAGCAACGCCGCGUGAAGGAAGAAGGCUUUCGGGUUGUACACUUCUUUUGUCAGGGACGAAGCAAGUGACGGUACAUGACGAAUAAGCCACUGCUAACUUCGUGCCAGCAGCCGCGGUAAUACGUAGGUGGCAAGCGUUAUCCGGAUGUAUUGGGUGUAAAGGGCGUGUAGGCGGGAAUGCAAGUCAGAUGUGAAAACUAUGGGCUCAACCCAUAGCCUGCAUUUGAAACUGUAUUUCUUGAGUGCGGGAGAGGCAAGCGGAAUUCCGUGUGUAGCGGUGAAAUGCGUAGAUAUACGGAGGAACACCAGUGGCGAAGGCGGAUUGCUGGACAGUAACUGACGCUGAGGCGCGAAAGCGUGGGGAGCAAACAGGAUUAGAUACCCCGGUAGUC
rnacentral:rRNA from 1 species